AAGUAGGCCUACUCAUCAAGUGUCAUGUUGUUUGAAAUUGUGUUCAGUUGCAUUACAGUUUCAAUUGUUCACAAGAAGUAUUUGAUAAAGUCUUACAUUGGAAGUAACAGAAGGUGGAUUUUGGGAUAUUGGCAAUUGAAUGGCCAGACAAUUGAGUCUGGUGAACAUGUUGGCAAUCGAAAGUCUGCUUUCAAGCAAACGUGCAUGAGGUGUACAUUUAUAGCUGUUCAAACAACAUGUCUACUAUGACUGUCAUGACUCCCAAACUUGUCGUGUUCACCAUUGAUGUUAGAGAGCCUAUUGCUGAACUCUACUCAGAUGCAGCGAAUGGAAAUAACAACAAAUUCCAGGGCUUCGAACCACGACUGCUAAAGUCAGGUGUAUUAUCUCAAGAACUAUUCCGUCAGAAAGCUAAGUCUUCAAGUCGGAAGAGCUAAUUGUUUGA